rnacentral:rRNA from 1 species
UUAGCGGCGGACGGGUGAGUAACACGUGGGUAACCUGCCUGUAAGACUGGGAUAACUCCGGGAAACCGGAGCUAAUACCGGAUAGUUCCUUGAACCGCAUGGUUCAAGGAUGAAAGACGGUUUCGGCUGUCACUUACAGAUGGACCCGCGGCGCAUUAGCUAGUUGGUGAGGUAACGGCUCACCAAGGCGACGAUGCGUAGCCGACCUGAGAGGGUGAUCGGCCACACUGGGACUGAGACACGGCCCAGACUCCUACGGGAGGCAGCAGUAGGGAAUCUUCCGCAAUGGACGAAAGUCUGACGGAGCAACGCCGCGUGAGUGAUGAAGGUUUUCGGAUCGUAAAGCUCUGUUGUUAGGGAAGAACAAGUGCAAGAGUAACUGCUUGCACCUUGACGGUACCUAACCAGAAAGCCACGGCUAACUACGUGCCAGCAGCCGCGGUAAUACGUAGG